AACGAACGCUGGCGGCAUGCUUAACACAUGCAAGUCGAACGAGACCUUCGGGUCUAGUGGCGCACGGGUGCGUAACGCGUGGGAAUCUACCCUUUGCCACGGAAUAACUCAGAGAAAUUUGUGCUAAUUCCGUAUGAUGUCGAAAGACCAAAGAUUUAUCGGCAAAGGACGAGCCCGCGUAGGAUUAGCUAGUUGGUGUGGUAAAGGCGCACCAAGGCGACGAUCCUUAGCUGGUCUGAGAGGAUGAUCAGCCACACUGGGACUGAGACACGGCCCAGACUCCGACGGGAGGAAGCAGUGGGGAAUAUUGGACAAUGGGCGAAAGCCUGAUCCAGCCAUGCCGCGUGAGUGAUGAAGGCCUUAGGGUUGUAAAGCUCUUUCACCGGAGAAGAUAAUGACGGUAUCCGGAGAAGAAGCCCCGGCUAACUUCGUGCCAGCCGCCGCCGUAACAC
rnacentral:rRNA from 1 species